ACACACAUAUGUCGUGAAGUACAUGGUUCCAGAACUAUGGUAACCCGUAGUUUGCUCUACUGGUGAUAGUAGGAUGAUGGAAACAUCACUACUGAAUGUAGCUCUUGUUUCUUCAACUAAUCAUCAUGUACUAGAGUUUCUCUUCCUCUUGCUACUGUUUGGUUUUUGAUGUCACUAGCUUGUACUGAAACAUGCAGACUUUACCCCUUGCUAGAUCCUUCGGUGGAGGUGACCCAUGUGAUGGUGAUUCGCUCCACCAGUUCCGGUACGGCAGUGGUGGUGCUACACUUCUACUGAUCCUACGAUGGCUACGCAUUGGUAGGCUUGGCUGCCUCCCUUAGCUGUCGCUGUGAUGGUGAAGCUCAGCCUAGGGUACAACCACUUCCGAUGAGCUCCUCAGGUCCCCUUCCUCCCCUCCUACUCGCUCCAUGAUUCUUUGCUUUGCCUUUGUGAGGUGUAAUUAUUUAAUUUUUGUCAUAGUCGAGCAUUGGAUGAUAUAUUGUAUCUGUCAUGGAGGUACAUGGUUCAUGGAUAUGCCAACCUGCAGCUUGUUGUACUAGUGAUAGUAGGAUAAUGCAAGUUUUGACAAUCGAUACGUAUUCCUGCAUGUUAGUGUCUCUCCGUGUAAGUACGAAUUUUGGUGAUGCCUUCAUCUAUGAUGAUGCUCUGCCUUUCACAUUCAUUCAUUGUCUGAUUGUUCUAGGAGUCCUCAUAUUUAUUUGAAAAUCUGUGCACAUGUACAUCAUUCUAGAGAAGCAUUCCCAUACCAGCACAUGUAUUCGAAAAAUUUAUUCAAAUCUCCUCACUUCAUAUGUUGCUAUCAACACUAAGUUCGUAGUGUUGCAUGCUGUUAAGAGAUACUGCAACUCCACAGUAGACAACUAAAACAUAUUAGUAAAAUCAGUAUGCAUCCCUAGUGAUGCUUUAUCUUGUUAUUUUAGUCCAUGAGUGAUGUGUUGGAGCAUCACUGACUUGUAUGGGUUUUUUUCAAGGUCUAUACAAGUGCCAUCUUUGUAUGGCAACAUCCGCCUCCUGUGUCAUGUCAUGUAUCUAUUUCACUUUAGAUGUUUUAAGUGAAUGAUGUAUUACUUGCGAGUGUUGAUGUACUGAUGCAAAUAGUGCUUGUGUACUUGUGACUAAUCUGAUUUCCCUCUCAUUUAUAGGAGUUCCUUGGCCAAAGAAAUUUGAAGAAGCUCGAAGCCCCAGUCAGCGGCUCGCUUUAUAUGUUAUUGAACUUGUAAUCCGGAAUUUGCUUGGAAUUUUGAUGUAAUGCUGAUCUUGCUAGGAAUUGGGUGUAUAUUUACUUGUUGUACCUGUUAUUUAAUGUUGGGUGUACUUGUUAUUCAAAUGCUGGGAAUUUGAAUGUGAUAAAUAUAUUUAGUUGGAUGUGAACAUAAUACUGAAAGAGUUCUUGGCCCAAACACUACUGGACCUUAAAAAGGCCACAACCCAAACAUAGUUGUGG
rnacentral:lncRNA from 1 species